CCGUACACAAAAAUGCACAUGCUGUGAGCUCGAUGAGUAGGGCGGGACACGUGGUAUCCUGUCUGAAUAUGGGGGGACCAUCCUCCAAGGCUAAAUACUCCUGACUGACCGAUAGUGAACCAGUACCGUGAGGGAAAGGCGAAAAGAACCCCGGCGAGGGGAGUGAAAAAGAACCUGAAACCGUGUACGUACAAGCAGUGGGAGCACAGAGCAAUCUGUGUGACUGCGUACCUUUUGUAUAAUGGGUCAGCGACUUAUAUUCUGUAGCAAGGUUAACCGAAUAGGGGAGCCGAAGGGAAACCGAGUCUUAACUGGGCGUUAAGUUGCAGGGUA
rnacentral:rRNA from 1 species